rnacentral:rRNA from 2 species
CGUAGAAGCAGAGUCUGACGGAGCACGCCGCGUGAACGAAGAAGGCCUUCGGGUCGUAAAGUUCUGUUGUUAGGGAAGAACAAGUACCAGAGUAACUGCUGGUACCUUGACGGUACCUAACCAGAAAGCCACGGCUAACUACGUGCCAGCAGCCGCGGUAAUACGUAGGUGGCAAGCGUUGUCCGGAAUUAUUGGGCGUAAAGCGCGCGCAGGUGGUUCUUUAAGUCUGAUGUGAAAGCCCACGGCUCAACCGUGGAGGGUCAUUGGAAACUGGGGAACUUGAGUGCAGAAGAGGAAAGUGGAAUUCCAAGUGUAGCGGUGAAAUGCGUAGAGAUUUGGAGGAACACCAGUGGCGAAGGCGACUUUCUGGUCUGUAACUGACACUGAGGCGCGAAAGCGUGGGGAGCAAACAGGAUUAGAUACCCUGGUAGUCCACGCCGUAAACGAUGAGUGCUAAGUGUUAGAGGGUUUCCGCCCUUUAGUGCUGCAGCUAACGCAUUAAGCACUCCGCCUGGGGAGUACGGCCGCAAGGCUGAAACUCAAAGGAAUUGACGGA